rnacentral:rRNA from 1 species
GACGAACGCUGGCGGCGUGCUUAACACAUGCAAGUCGAACGAUGAAGCGGGUGCUUGCACUCGUGGAUUAGUGGCGAACGGGCGAGUAACACGUGAGUAACCUGUCCUUUUCUUUGGGAUAACGGCUGGAAACGGCUGCUAAUACUGGAUAUUCAGGCUGCAUCGCAUGGUGUGGUUUGGAAAGGUUUUUUCUGGGAUUGGGUGGGCUCGCGGCCUAUCAGCUUGUUGGUGGGGUGAUGGCUUACCAAGGCUUUGACGGGUAGCCGGCCUGAGAGGGUGGUCGGUCGCACUGGGACUGAGAUACGGCCCAGACUCGUCCGGGAGGCAGCAGUGGGGAAUAUUGCACAAUGGACGAACGUUUGAUGCAGCGUGGCCGCGUGGAGGGUGUAGGCCUUCGGGUUGUGAACUCCUUUUUCUCGCGAAAAAGGCACAGUUUUGGCUGUGUUGAGGGUAGUGGGGGAAGAAGCGCCGGCUAACUACGUG